UACGACAUGUCCUUCCCAGGUCCCUCCACUUCAUACAGGCUGCAGCAGGCCUUCCCAGGUCCCUCCACUUCAUACAGGCUGCAGCAGGCCUUCCCAGGUCCCUCCACUUCAUCCAGGCUGCAGCAGGCCUUCCCAGGUCCCUCCACUUCAUCCAGGCUGCAGCAGGCCUUCCCAGGUCCCUCCACUUCAUCCAGGCUGCAGCAGGCCUUCCCAGGUCCCUCCACUUCAUCCAGGCUGCAGCAGGCCUUCCCAGGUCCCUCCACUUCAUCCAGGCUGCAGCAGGCCUUCCCAGGUCCCUCCACUUCAUCCAGGCUGCAGCAGGCCUUCCCAGGUCCCUCCACUUCAUCCAGGCUGCAGCAGGCCUUCCCAGGUCCCUCCACUUCAUCCAGGCUGCAGCAGGCCUUCCCAGGUCCCUCCACUUCAUCCAGGCUGCAGCAGGCCUUCCCAG